rnacentral:rRNA from 1 species
ACGCACGCUGGCGGCAUGCCUAACACAUGCAAGUCGCACGAGACCUUCGGGUCUAGUGGCGCACGGGUGCGUAACGCGUGGGAACCUGCCCUUAGGUUCGGAAUAACUCCCCGAAAGGGGUGCUAAUACCGGAUAAUGUCUUCGGACCAAAGAUUUAUCGCCUUUGGAUGGGCCCGCGUUGGAUUAGCUAGUUGGUAGGGUAAAAGCCUACCAAGGCGACGAUCCAUAGCUGGUCUGAGAGGAUGAUCAGCCACACUGGGACUGAGACACGGCCCAGACUCCUACGGGAGGCAGCAGUGGGGAAUAUUGGACAAUGGGCGAGAGCCUGAUCCAGCAAUGCCGCGUGAGUGAUGAAGGCCUUAGGGUUGUAAAGCUCCUUUACCCGGGAUGAUAAUGACAGUACCGGGAGAAUAAGCUCCGGCUAACUCCGUG